CUUCACCGAGCCGAUCCACAGCGGCCGGCCGGCGGGCCGGCCGCGGCCGUACGCGGCCAGCAGCGCCUGCGCCUC
rfam:Catenulispora sp. 13_1_20CM_3_70_7 13_1_20cm_3_scaffold_1923, whole genome shotgun sequence.